ACCGAUGGUUCUCCCUCCCCGCCUCCUCCCCGCUCCACCGAUGGUUCUCCCUCCCCGCCUCCUCCCCACUCCACCGAUGGUUGCCUCCCUGCGACCGGCUGCUCCGUUCGCUCGUUCCCAGCCCGAUCCUCCAAUAGAUGCUCCUCGAUCUGGUAUGGAUUACCCUUCUGGAGUUGGACCUAGCAGGCAAAUGAAAGCUGAUGACGACCCAGGGCGCAGUUUGACAUCACUUUCUUGUUCAAGGCUAGAGGAUGAAUUAUAUGUCGCUGCAAAGGAAGUAUCGCUUGAUCAUUUCAAAGAAGUGGUUGCAGAAGAAACAAAACACAGUUUGACAUCACUUUCUUGUUCAAUACUGAUGAAUGAAUUAUAUGUAGCUGCAAAGGAAGUAUUGUUUGAUCAUUUCAAAGAAGUGGUUGCAGACGAAAUAACAAAAGUCUUGUGUCCUCAGUAUGAUGGUGUUAUUAGUCAGGAACCAGCAGAUACAUGUGAAUCUAUGGAGAGGAGUAUGACACCGCCACAUGUUUCUCAAAUGACUACAUGUGAAGCAUCUAGUUUAGCCGCAGUACAGAAUAAUUCACCUUAUUUGGCACUUAUCUGGCAAAGCCCGAGUCAUAUCACCAUGGUACGACUUGCUGACGAUCCUUCCAAACAAGUGGAAGAUUUCCUGUCAGGUAAUCACACUAGUGAGCGUUUUGGCGCCUGUUAUGUUGCUCCUGUAAAGAGCAUUCAGGAGACGAGCAAGAAGGACAUGAUAGUGGAUCUCAACGACAAUUUCCAUUUCAAUACUCAACAAUGCGGGGAACAUUUUUCCUCCAGUGGGAUAAGGGAAAGCAGACAAUAUCAUAUGAAACAAAAGCCUCUUAUUGUUCCAAAUGGGAAGCUUCCAAGUGAUCAUGCAUCAAGAACCAAUGUUGAUACUUUUCCCACAAGUCCUCUGCAGAAAAAAGGACGUACGAAGCUGAUCGUGGACCUUCUCAAUACAGCCGAGGCUCCCUGUACUUCAAAGAGUCGAAGAGAGUUGAAGGAAAAGCGUCUGACUUACCGCAGAGAAAAGGAAAAGUUCCCGACUCCAUGCAGAUCAAACAGAUGUGCUCGGACUUCCAUUGAUGGUUGGCAGUGGCGUAUCUGGUCACAGAACGCUACUAUAGCGGAGAAAGACAGUGUUAGAGGAUGGAAUAGUACAAAGCAAAUUCUGCGAGUGGAGAAAGCCAGUCCCAAAGAACGGAGCAGUAGAAAUCACAGUCCAUGCACUGAUGCUCGAGCUUCUCGAGCAAAAGUACGAACCAUAUUGACGAGCUCUAUAUCUCAUCAGUUGGCAAACUAUAUACAGAUGAAGGCAAGGAUAAAAAAAUUGCGCGUUGAGAGGAGCAAGAUCCAUGGCUGGGGUGUUCUGACUGUAAAGGAAAUUAAUUGUGGAGAACUUAUUGUGGAGUAUAUUGGGGAAGUGAUAUGCAAGCCGGUUUUAGACAAACGUGAACUUGUCUAUGAGAAGGCUGGUAUAUGUGACUACUUCUUCAGGAUUGAUGCCGAUUAUGUGAUUGACGCUACCCACCGGGGUGGGAUCGCUCGGUACAUUAAUCAUUCUUGUGAGCCAAACUGUGAAACUAGAGUGAUCCUUGUCAAUGGAGAAAAGAAAAUAUUCAUUUAUGCAAAAAACAAGAUUAAGGCGGGUGAAGAGCUUACCUACAAUUAUAAAUUUCCUUUUGAUGAGAUCAAAAUUCCGUGCCUAUGUGGUUCAAAGAGGUGUCGUGGAUCGAUGAACUGAGGAAUGGAGUUGGCAAGGUAUUGCUGGUGGUUCCGAGCAACUCAAUAUUCCAGAUCUCUUAUGUAAAACCAGUCGCCGGGUUGACUGGCAGGUUCUUUGAGUAACUUUGCGGCAGGCUUCCGGCCCCAAGAACAUUACCGACAUCAAUUUUUCGUACUGACAUUAUCAACAUCAUGUGUUCUUGUUAUUGUGUUUGUACAUAAAACUAUGUGGCCACCUUCAAACUCGCAAAUCACUGCAGCGAUGUUUUUCUAGUGAGAUCCUUUUCAGGGAAUGUUGAUCAUGAUUCACGAGGAUCAUGCCAGCUAGACAUGUGUCAAGUGCGUACAAUUAUUAAUGACGCUAUUAAUGCAUAUCUGGGCAUUUCAUCCAUUGCCAGAGUAGAAGGUACUAUUUCUUUUGGAACUUUCUGAUGCAUGUAUUCCUUGUCAAUAAAGAGCAAAUCAAGGUAAUAUUUGAACACCUAUGAAAAAUCUCUAAAGAGGUGACAAGUUAAUGACUUGUGAGUAAGCAUCAAUCCCACAUUUGCUUAAUAACUCCAUCCCACUUUUUUUGUGUCUUUAUUGCGUUAAAUCUGGUACUAGUUUGCAGCUACUGAGCUACAUGCCAUUUUGACUGGUAUGGGAAGUGCAUGGACUUCUGGAAUUUUCUGGCAUUGGCGGCCGAAAAAGCUUGAGAGCGGUGUGUUUUAAGAGGUGGUGCUGUUCUAUUUUCACAGGCCGAGGUUGAUGAAGGUUUCGGUGGCCUCUUCGUUGAGUCGCUGCUCACUGGAAAGUUUGCCGGUGCCAGUCGAUGGUUCUGCCGUCCACUGAGGGUUGUAAAAUUUCCUGAAUACGGGUGUUAGUCCUUCAUGUGUGUCCUGUUUUUUUAUUUAGGGGGAAAUGACUCUCUUUAUACUCCCUCCGUACCUAAAUAUAAGUCUUUUAAGAUAUUUCAUCAGAUGU